rnacentral:rRNA from 1 species
GAUGAACGCUGGCGGCAUGCCUUACACAUGCAAGUCGAACGGCAGCACGGGAGCAAUCCUGGUGGCGAGUGGCGAACGGGUGAGUAAUAUAUCGGAACGUGCCCGGUCGUGGGGAUAACGUAGCGAAAGCUACGCUAAUACCGCAUACGAUCUACGGAUGAAAGCGGGGGAUCGCAAGACCUCGCGCGAUUGGAGCGGCCGAUAUCAGAUUAGGUAGUUGGUGAGGUAAAGGCUCACCAAGCCGACGAUCUGUAGCUGGUCUGAGAGGACGACCAGCCACACUGGGACUGAGACACGGCCCAGACUCCUACGGGAGGCAGCAGUGGGGAAUUUUGGACAAUGGGCGCAAGCCUGAUCCAGCAAUGCCGCGUGCAGGAUGAAGGCCUCGGUUGG